GACGAACGCUGGCGGCGUGCCUAAUACAUGCAAGUCGAGCGGACGGAUGGGAGCUUGCUCCCAGACCGUCAGCGGCGGACGGGUGAGUAACACGUGGGCAACCUGCCUGUAAGACUGGGAUAACUCCGGGAAACCGGGGCUAAUACCGGAUAACUCUUUCCCUCACAUGAGGGAAAGCUGAAAGAUGGCAUCUCGCUAUCACUUACAGAUGGGCCCGCGGCGCAUUAGCUAGUUGGUGAGGUAACGGCUCACCAAGGCGACGAUGCGGAGCCGACCUGAGAGGGUGAUCGGCCACACUGGAACUGAGACACGGCCCAGACUCCUACGGGAGGCAGCAGUAGGGAAUCUUCCGCAAUGGACGAAAGUCUGACGGAGCAACGCCGCGUGAGUGAUGAAGGUUUUCGGAUCGUAAAACUCUGUUGUCAGGGAAGAACAAGUACCGGAGUAACUGCCGGUACCUUGACGGUACCUGACCAGAAAGCCACGGCUAACUACGUG
rnacentral:rRNA from 1 species